GAGAGGUCUCGGAGAGGUCACGUUGGAGAGAUCACGUCGGAGAGCUCACGUCGGAGAGCUCACGUUGGAGAGGUCACGCUGGAGGUCACGUUGGAGAGGUCACGUUGGAGGUCACGUUGGACAGGUCUCGGAGAGGUCACGUUGGAGAGGUCUCGGAGAGGUCACGUUGGAGAGAUCGCGUUGGAGAGGUCACGUUGGAGAGAUCACGUUGGAGAGGUCACGUUGGAGUUCACGUUGGACAGGUCUCGGAGAGGUCACGUUGGAGAGGUCUCGGAGAGGUCACGUUGGAGAGUUCACGUUGGAGAGUUCACACUGGAGGUCACGUUGGACAGGUCUCGGAGAGGUCACGCUGGAGUGGUCUCGGAGAGGUCACGUUGGAGAGAUCACGUUGGAGAGGUCACGUUGGAGAGAUCACGGAGAGGUCACGCUGGAGAGAUCUCGGAGAGGUCACGUUGGAGAGAUCACGUUGGAGAGGUCACGUUGGAGAGGUCACGUUGGAGAGGUCACGUUGGAGAGAUCACGGAGCGGUCACGUUGGAGAGGUCACGCUGGAGAUCACGUUGGACAGGCCUCGGAGAGGUCACGUUGGAGAGGUCACAUUGGAGGUCACGUUGGGGAGAUGACAGAGAGGUCACGUUGGAGAGGUCACGUUGGAGAGAUCACGUUGGAGAGGUCACGUUGGACAGGUCUCGGAGAGGUCACGCUGGAGUGGUCUCGGAGAGGUCACGUUGGAGAGGUCACGUUGGGAGAGAUCACGUUGGAGAGGUCACGUUGGACAGUUCCACAUCUGGAAGUCCUUUCCUUUAGGGGCAUGUAUUUUCUGCAUGCUGAUGCAGGUCGUUUCCCUCCCAUACACUCUUUAACAAUAGCUUUACACUGCUUAAACAUUGAUGGAAUGCAAAUCGGUAGAAUCAUUGAAAUAUAAUUCUAUUUAGGAACCCCCCCCCAUAAACAAAGAUUUUCAUCAGCCCUGAAACCAGGAAAUAAGUUACCCUGGUUCGUUUCCCUAUGGAAAAAUGAAUGGGGAAGGAAUGGGGUUCUGGAAUUAAGGCUGAAAAUAAGGUAAACAUGUUCCAUGUUCUAUGAUAUAAUAACAGUUAACAUGGCCUUUAUGAUUAAUGAAGCCUUUGUGAUUUACGGAGCAUUCCGGAAAGCAUCCGGACCCUUUAACUUUUUCCACAUUUUAUUACGUUACAGCCUAAUUCUAAAAUGGAUUCAUUUAAAUAAACAUCUCAAUCUACAUACAAUACCCCAUGAUGACAAAGCAAAAACAUUUGCCCAUUUAUCCAAAAUAAAAAACAGAGGGCUUAUUUACAAAGGUAUUCAGACCCUUUGCUAUGAGACUUGAAAUUGAGCUCAGGUGCAUCCUGUUUCCAUUGAACAUCCUUCAGAUGUUGAAUGUAAAGGGAUGGAAUAAGAAUAAGUACAUAUAAAUAUUUGGAUGAGCGAUGACUGAGCAGCAUAGGCAAGAUGUAACAGAUUUAUUCAUUAUUAAAGUGACUGGUCAUCCAUAUAUUAAAGUGGCCAAUGAUUUUGAGUCGGUGUGUAGGCAGCAGCCUCUCUGUGUUAGUGAUGGCUGUUUAACAGUUUAAUUACUGAGGAUGAUAGGGGACAAUAUUGCCACUCCUAUUUGCCAAAUUUUAAAUUUAAGCCUACUAGAAAGUGUGUGCCCUCAGGCCUGGGAGUACAAGAGAGGGAGGGGUACAGGAGGGGGCUGAGCACGCACCCUUGUGGGGCCCCAGUGUUGAGGAUCAGCGGGGUGGAGCUCACCACCUUGGGGCGGCCCGUCAGGAAGUCCAGGAACCAGUUGCACAGGGUGGGGUUGAGACCCAGGGCCUCCAGCUUAAUGAUGAGCUUGGAGGGUACUAUGGUGUUAAAUGCUGAGCUGUAGUCAAUGAACAGCAUUCUUACAUAGGUAUUCCUCUUGUCCAGAUGGGAAAGGGCAGUGUGCAGAGUGAUGGCGAUUGCAUCUUCUGUAGACCUAUUGGGGCGGUAAACAAAUUGGAGUGGGUCUAGGGUGGCAGGUAGGGUGGAGGUGAUAUGAUCCUUGACUAGUCUCUCAAACACUUCAUGAUGACAGAAAUGAGUGCUACGGGGCGAUAGUCAUUUAGUUCAGUUCUCUUUGCUUUCACCUGUGGUAAAUUCAAAUCAAAUCAAAUCAAAUUGUAUUUGUCACAUACACAUGGUUAGCAGAUGUUAAUGCGAGUGUAGCGAAAUGCUUGUGCUUCUAGUUCCAACAAUGCAGUAAUAACAAACAAGUAAUCUAACUAACAAUUCCAAAAAAACUGUCUUAUACACAGUGUAAGGGGAUAAAGAAUAUGUACAUAAGGAUAUAUGAAUGAGUG
rnacentral:lncRNA from 1 species